CUACGGAGGGUGCAAGCGUUGUUCGGAAUUAUUGGGCGUAAAGAGCAUGUAGGCGGACUAUUAAGUCUGGUGUGAAAGCCCGGGGCUCAACCCCGGAAGUGCAUUGGAUACUGGUAGUCUUGAGUAUGGGAGAGGAAAGUGGAAUUCCGAGUGUAGGAGUGAAAUCCGUAGAUAUUCGGAGGAACACCAGUGACGAAGGCGGCUUUCUGGACCAAUACUGACGCUGAGAUGCGAAAGCGUGGGGAGCGAACAGGAUUAGAAACCCUAGUAGUCC
rnacentral:rRNA from 1 species